GUUGUGGUGCUAUGAGUUUUUAGUUUGUUUUUAUGUUGUUUUUUGUAAAAUAUUUUGAUUUUUUUUAGUUUCUUGUGGUAUCAAAAAUUUGUUUUUUGAACUGGAUUAGUACCCAGGUAAUCAAAAUUUAAUAAUUCGGGAGUAAAGUUUUGUUUAAACCGAAAAAAUAUUGACUGACUUUAGAUUUUUCUUUGGAACAUGUGAUUUGCUGGAGAGCCCUCUUUUUUGGUGAAUUUUGUUGGCACAUGUAUGAUUGUUUAGUUUUUAUUUUAUUUUGUAAUGCUUUGUUGUUUUGGCAUUAAAAACAGAUAUAUAUUUGGCUUAUGAAUUUAUGUUUCAUGUGUUACUAUUAUGAAUUUUUUUUGGAUUAGUUUUUUAUUUUUUUUUGAAAUUGGAAAAGAAAGUAAUUUUUUUU
rnacentral:rRNA from 1 species